rnacentral:rRNA from 1 species
CCUACGGGGGGCUGCAGUCGAGAAUCUUCCGCAAUGGGCGCAAGCCUGACGGAGCGACGCCGCGUGGAGGACGAAGGCCUUCGGGUUGUAAACUCCUGUCACGAGUUAAGAAGGUUGGCCUGCGAACAGCGGGUCGGCUUGACGUAAGCUCGAGAGGAAGCACUGGCUAACUCUGUGCCAGCAGCCGCGGUAAUACAGAGAGUGCAAACGUUGUUCGGAAUUACUGGGCUUAAAGCGCACGUAGGCGGCGUCGUAAGUGUCGGGUGAAAUCCCACGGCUCACCCGUGGAACUGCCCGGCAUACUGCGGUGCUGGAGUGUGGUAGGGGAGAGCGGAACUCCUGGUGGAGCGGUGAAAUGCGUAGAUAUCAGGAGGAACACCGGUGGCGAAGGCGGCUCUCUGGUCCACAACUGACGCUGAGGUGCGAAAGCUAGGGGAGCA